rnacentral:rRNA from 1 species
UACGUAGGGUGCGAGCGUUGUCCGGAAUUAUUGGGCGUAAAGGGCUCGUAGGCGGUUUGUCGCGUCGGGAGUGAAAACCCAGGGCUUAACCCUGGGCUGGCUUCCGAUACGGGCAGACUAGAGGUAUGCAGGGGAGAACGGAAUUCCCGGUGUAGCGGUGAAAUGUGUAGAGAUCGGGAGGAACACCGGUGGCGAAGGCGGUCUUCUGGACGGUGACUGACGCUGAGGCGCGAAAGCGUGGGGAGCAAACGGG